UUUUCUGAUGGUGAUAUUAUGACAGUGUGUGUUUGUGUGGGGUUCGUGUGAUGUAAUCUUUGAAAGUUUAUGACCGAACCUUUAUUGGGGAGCGACAAGAGAUCUCCGGCAUCAGUUUGUAUGGAGCAGAGCUGUUAUACUCAAGUCUAUUGGUAUGUAUGUGUUUCGCUGUGUUCGUUCCAGUAUUUUGUCUGAUUUAUUUAAAAACUAAAAAUUCGAUCUCUGGUAUUGCAUCGAAAUUGUCUAAACUGGUAUUAACUAUUCCUGGUAAAUCGCGGAGAAGAGUGGAAUGAACAAAAAGUCAGACCGUGACUAGAACCAUCAGCAGCGUAACAAGGAAAUCUUGGAACAAAAGAGACGCCGAGUGGCUCGUGUUGUCCGGUUUGGAUAUCAACGGCAAAGCGAACGUUGUGUGUACUAUUGCAAAAAUAUAUACUGGAUCUCCACGGUUAGGAUACAGACCACAACACUUUGGACGUAUCUUUAAAAAAGAGAAAAAUCUGAGACUUUUUGGAUUUGUCUGGGACAUUUUAAACAUUUUGUGACAUAUUGGAUUUAAAACAUUUCGGAUACUGGAUACCUGUGUUGAUUUGUCCACAGAGCUGAUCGCUUUUUAAAAUCACAAGGGUAAGUGUCUAAAUACAUUUUUUUUUUCAUCGCUCAUAUAAUCCGUUUUUUUUUUUACUCAUUUUGGCUUAGAGUUUUUCAUUGUUUUAAAUAUAUUGUUUUACUGCUAUUUUAAACUUGUGUUCUUGUUAUAUUUUUGGUUUAUUUUUCAUCGUUUAUAUAAUCCGUUUUUAUACUCAUUUUGGUUUAGAGUUUUUCAUUGUUUUAAAUAUAUUGCUUUACUGUUGUUUUAAACUUGUGUCCUUAAUACCUAUUGGUUUAUUUUUUUCAUCGUAAUCCGUUUUUAUAAUCAUUUUGGUUUAGAGUUUUUUCAUUGAUUUAACUAUAUUGUUUGUUUUUUUGGUUUAGUUUUAUUGUGUUUACAUUGUUUGAUUAUUUGAAUAUUUUGGGGUUUCACUGUGUUUCCGAAUAUUGUGUUAGAAAUGGCCCAAAAACGUAAUUCGGACUCUGGUUGUAGUCAUGCGAAUAAAAUUAUAAGGCGCAAUGAA